UGGGGAAUAUUGGACAAUGGGCGAAAGCCUGAUCCAGCAAUACCGCGUGAAUGAUGAAGGCCUUAGGGUUGUAAAGUUCUUUUAGUAGGAAAGAUAAUGACGGUACCUACAGAAAAAGCACCGGCUAACUUCGUGCCAGCAGCCGCGGUAAUACGAAGGGUGCAAGCGUUGUUCGGAUUUACUGGGUGUAAAGCGUGUGUAGGUGGUUUAGUAAGUUGUUUAUUAAAGCCCGAGGCUCAACCUCGGUUCUAUAAGCAAUACUGCUUUACUAGAGGGUGAUAAGCGAUGGCGGAAUUCUUAGUGUAGGGGUAAAAUCCGUAGAUAUUAAGAGGAACACCGGUGGUGAAGACGGCUAUCUUGGUCACAACUGACACUGAUACACGAAGGCAUGGGGAUCAAACA
rnacentral:rRNA from 1 species